GGAUGCGAUCAUACUAGCACUAACGCACCGGAUCCCAUCAGAAUUCCGAAGUUAAACGUGCUUGGGCGAGAGUAGUAAAGUUCUCGUGUGCAUCCC
rfam:Nicotiana attenuata strain TT scaffold02616, whole genome shotgun sequence.